rnacentral:tRNA from 1 species
GGCGGGGUAGCUCAGUCGGUAGAGCAUCGCUCUCAUAAGGCGAGUGUCAAGGGUUCGAGUCCCUUCUCCGCUA